GUGCCGCUUCACGUCCCGCCCCCGCGCUCUGAUUGGCCGCGCCUCCUGAGGCGGGCUUUUCCGGUUCCGGCGCCCGCUCUUCCCUCUCCUGGCUCGCACAACUCGCUCACCUUUUUCCCCCCACAGCAAGCCACUUCCGGUUGUGGGCGGCGGUGGGGGGCGAGGAGGCGGCCUGGGCGCUCCCCCCUCCCUCCCUGCCCCCCCACCGGCCUGGAGACCCCUUUCCGCCCUCAAUUCCUCGUUCAGAAAAGCCUUUUUCGGCUCUCCUCAGCACAAGCCCCGCCCCCUGGGGCCCAAGCCACGCCCCCUCAAGGCCCAAGCCACGCCCCCUGGAAGCCCCUUCCUCUUUAGGCCCCGCCCCUCAGGCAGCAGAGUGACAAGCCUCACUUCUCAAGCACAGUCUACCCUUACAAUUGGAUCCCAGUCAUUCAAAGGCAAAAUCCCGCCUUGUUUUCCUUAGAGGACCCCCAAAUGGCUUCAUGUUGAAGGUUGAGAAGGGCAAGGUGUGGGUCUGGGCUCUUUAAGAGGGCCUCUGGACCCCUUCCCAUUGGUUUUCGACCCUUUUUCCCAGGGUUUUAAAGUCUUCACUUCCUCUAAAGAUCCCAUCCAGUGGGGUUUGGGGCUCCCUAGGAAGGAAAGGGGGGCCUUUGCUCCCCACACCCCAAAAAGGAAAGUUGCCAUGGAGACGCAGAAGGGGAAAGGGGGUGCCCCCCCGGCCACAGGAGGCAAGUUGCUGAUCUACACCAGUUUGGAUGCCAAGGAUGAGUUAGAAGAGCGGCUGGAGCGAUGCAUGGGCACCGUCACGUCGCUCACCAGUGGGGUUUCGGAGAGAGAAGCCAAUGACGCCCUCAAUGCUCACGUUUGCAAAGGAGCCCCCCAGCAUGAGGAGGUCUGCCUGGGGCUGUUCACCCUCAUCCUCACAGAGCCGGCUCAAGCACAGAAGGUAAAGUUCCUUGCUUUGUUGACCCUAAAAGGCUUCGGUUUUGGUGGUUACCUUGCCUUGGAAUAGAUUUACCACUCCAUUAUUUAUUUACAACAUUUAUAUCCCGCCCUUCUCACCCGAGGGGACUCAGGGCGGCUUACAAAAAUUGGCAAAAUUUAAUGCCCAAAAUACAAUCAUAAAAACAAAACAAUAACAGAUCUAUUAAUAACAUUGUUAAAACACAUUAUAAAACCUUAAAAACGUGUAUAUAUAAUUAAUUCCAUUCGUCCGAGAUCCUCAUUCUACAUCCUCUUAUCUCUAAGAAAGGUGGUCCCUAGGAGAGUUUCAGCAACCCCUUAAUAUUAGCCCUGUGAAAACACAUCCCCAAGGAGACUGGGCAGGAGAGUGGACAUUGACUCCUCCAUGAGCCUGUCCUGCUGCCCUUCCUUCUCUCCCUCCCUCCUUCGUUUGGCCUUUGCUUUUAAUUAAUAUUCUC
rnacentral:lncRNA from 11 species